CCGCCGCCAUUUUGUGCGUGCCCGCUCGGCGCUUAAGGGGCUGCGCGGCAGCGCGGGGUGUGAGGGGCUCGGCUCGGCUCAGCCUGUCUUGGCUGCUUGUCCCGGGCUAGGCAGGGACACCGGCGGUAUUUUUGGGGGGAAGAAGCCCCGGGAGGCCUCUACCGGUCCUGCUGCAGGGCCCCGCUCCUCCUUUCCUUGUAAAUCUUGGUGAUCGGCGUGUGCGUGUGGCGCUCUGCGUAAUAAAGUUACUAAUUCCUGUGCCUUGUCGCAGCGUCUGUUUCCUUCUUCUAACACACUAACGUGCUUUUCAAACGGGCUUUUGCUUGCAGGCAUGAUACUUACAAGGAAGUUUUGGUGUUGGUUGCGGGGUUUGGAACCAGCCUGCGAUUCAGUCCAUGGUUUGGGGGGUUACAAAGUCAGCUUGGGUAGCAGUGACUAAAUUGUGUAGAUUGGGGAAAUCUUAAGCACUCCGAUGCUCUGUCAGUUACUGUUGUGGCCUGUAAAAUUCUAUCGAUAUGUGUAUACAUCUGGUUGUAUAAAACAAUCUAUAGGAGUAAUACAUUUCUACUUCAGUUACAUUCAGCUUUUUUUCUUCUUUAUACUAGGCUACUUCUAUUGUUUUUCAUGAAUACCACCGUUGUGUUGGUUCUGAAAUAAAAGGUUAUGAUAUUCCUGCAUUUCUUUGCUGAAUGUCAGCAACAUGAAGCACAGUUCUUGCAAAAGAUGCUGAGGGUCCUUGGGAACUAGCAAGGAGCUAGAUUUCCUUGCCAUCCUCUUAGCUCUGUGCUCCACUAAAACUUAAGUAUACAAGAACUUUUCCCUAUUGUUAUCUUCUUUUUUUUUUUAUUUUUCUUUUCCCCGAGGCUUUAUUUUCUGCCUUUUGAUUUUCUAGGCGUGACGCAUGUGUACAACUAACUUAUUUGAAAAGCAGGAAGUUGAAUAGCUAAAUAUUAUUUUCCUAAAAAUUACUGACAUUUUACAUAACUAAAAAAAGAAAAUCAUAGAUACAUUACAGUUUGAGAACAUGUUUCAGUGCAGAUGGUCACUCGGGCUUUCUUUUUCCAUUUAGAUUGAUUAAAAAAUGAGUGAAGAUUCUAAUAGAAAUCUGGAUAAAAACCAUGACCAGCUUAAUAAAAAACACAGUGUCUCCUCUCCUGAUUCAACAGUAUCUUUUCUUCUAACAAGCAUUGGCAGCAGCAAUUCGUGCUCAAACAGUUUGAUUCAAUACAAGGACAAGCUUUACAGCUCUGCAUCUGAGGCUCUAGAAGCUUAUAUUGAAGAUUUUGAUCUAAGUCUCACGUCUUCAGAAAUAACCACUGGAAAAAUCUGCCUGUGCCAAAGUACUCCCAAACAAGCUGAGUUUUCAAAGCAUCAUGCCAAAGAAAAAUACGCUAUGUUUUCUGCAACGUUGGGUGACUGUAAUGAGCACAUAGGAUUAAGUUCUCUUGCUUCACCCUGUAGAAGGGAGACGGAAUGUGACCCAGACUUGAUUAGUCUUGCGACAGAUGAUCUGUUAGCAUUUCCAGCAGAUGGAUCACUGCCCUGCGUCCCGAGUAGUCCUUUUAAAUCAAGACAUCAAAAUAGUGAGUGGAACAGAUGGUCAGUUAAAAAACCUGUCUGCCCUUACCACACCCUGUCACUUGAUACUGAAAGGGGUUUCUGUCUUCAGGAGAAUGGGAAAGCUGAUGCUAAUGAAAAUGUACACAAACACUUCGGUAAAAAGAACUACAAUGCGUUUACACGUAACAGGUACAACUCUGUCUCCUCUAAAGGAAGUUCCAGACCCUUAUCUGUUGAGAACUGUGCCACUCUGCCUGCUAAGAACUAUCCAAGGUGGCUUACCAGUCAGAAGUCUGACUUAAGUGUAUCAGGGAUAAGCAGUAUUCCCAGUUUUCACUACCCAGUCUGGCUUAAGAGUCAUAACCUUUUUUCUGCUGCGACUAAAGAAAGUGAUGGACACAAUUCUAAUAUACAAGGCAAAGCUUCCUCUUCACAGAUUUUUGAGAUCCUGAAAAAACAAUGCUCCGUAGAUAAAGACAGUUCUGAUUUUCUUAAAAAAAAUGGUUGCCUGGAUCUGACAGGUGAUAACGAAGUAGCAGAAAGUUGCAAGUAUGACAGCCCAGAUGCACUCUUCCAAGCUGGUAACUCCUUUUCAAGGCACACGAAACAGUCAUUCGGAGAAGACCAACUUGAGCUGCUUACCUGGAAGGCUGACAGAGAUCUGGAGAGUUUAAAUGAAGGUUCGUCAAAUGCUCUGGGAAAUGAUGGCAGUCCUUCUACAACAGAUAUACUCGGAGCAGAAAGAUCAUGGGAAAAUGUUCCGGGUGCUUUCAAAUCACCAGUGCCUGCAUGCUGGGAGGACAAAACCAGUCCUCUACCAUUCCCCAAGGCAGACAUCAUUCAUAAAUUCUUGGAAGACUGUUUAGAUGACAAAAACAAGGAAAACAUCUUUUCUGGAAAUCAUAAUCACAGACCCCUGGAAGCCUUGAAGCUAAUGUUGUUUAAGCUUCAAGCAAUUCAGGGAAGUUUAAACCCGAACGAAACGGCUGAGCAAAAGGAAGAGUUUGAAAAACUUUUUGAAAAAGCAGACGCUGAAUUAAAAGUCUGUGACAGUGAGAUAAUCCCUCUUACUAAUUCUAUUCAGAAGGCUUUGCACCAUGUGUCAUGUCUUAAGAGUCUCCUUGAAGAUACCAAUAUGAAACAAGGGCAAAGUGAUGAUCAUCAAGAAAAUAAAGAAGAAAAAAGCUGAUAUCUACAAAUAGCUUAAUACUGUAUAAUUUAAAUAAUUUGUUGGCCUGUACAUUGUGCUUUUUUUUUUUUGAAAGGUGGACCAGUGCCUGUUCUGAAACAAUAUUUUAUUCGUUAUUUCUGUACAUGUUUGUUACUUUCAUGAGUUAUUUCAAACCUUGAGUUAUUAGUGCCUCCAGUAGGGUCUAACAACAUGUGACAAGACACCACUUUUAAAAGGAUAUGGAAUUAAAACAAUGUUAACAUUUCAUGGAAGAAGCCCUGCGUGUUUAUAUUUAAAAAAAUAAUAAUAAAAUAAAUAAACUAAACUGUUUGUCCAGUUCUGGUUACCAUUGUUACACAGCCUAUUCGAAUUUUUCUUAUUUUCUUAUCAGAAUUUUAUGGCCAAUAAAGAGUAUUUUAAAGAGGGAUUUGAUUGCUUAUAUAUCAGCAGAAAAAGUAACUUUUAGGAUAUAUACACUAGGCACUUGCAAUUAUAGCUGGAAUUUUGUUUUCUUCUAAGCUAAAAUGAAGUUACCACUCAGGAACAAUAAAUGAAUAUGUAAAUCAAGUACCAAACAACAGUAAUUGCCAUUUCCAAGUUGUCAGAGGUGUUUGUUUCCUGGAGGCUAGAUCAGGGAAAAGGCAUUUUAUUGAACUAUAAUCUUUGUUUCGAUAGUGACAGGGUGGGGAAGGCAGGCAGAAAGCCCGAGUCCAGCGUUUGGAGGAAAUAAUAAAUUAUCAGGACUUGUUAGAAGGAAUGUCACCAUUUCUCAGCAAAAAGUGUUUGCUGAAGAUGUACAAAAGUGUCCAUGAUCGUGUGUAUUUGCAUACACAGGAAAUCUUUUCUGCAGAAGGCACUUCCUGAAUUACAGAGUAUAUAUAUAUGAAUGAAACCGAGCUAGGACAGCAAAGGCUUUGAUGAGGACAAGUAUUGUGCUCUGAGACCUUGCGAAGAUCCCAGCGGUGCCUCAUCUCGUUGCCGUGUUGUGUCAGACCUUUCAGCCGUAGCUCGGAGAGGUGUUCCUGUGUUGCCGCACGUCGCUGCACAAGGGCGCUGCGCUCAGUGCCGCUGCGGCUGCCAUGCAAAGGCGAUGAUGAGUCACUUCCCCGGCCUUAAUGCAACAUAGACGAGCACA